ACAAUGCCCUCUACCUUUAAUUUCAGCGGUGAGUGCUAUUGAUACAAGCGGGAUCUCUUUUUUUAUGGAAUUAAAAAAGACAACAGAGAAAGAAGGUUUAAAGCUUGCCUUCAUAAAUCCUGUGGGAGAAGUCAUGGAGAAAUUACAGAGAGCAAAUGGCCUUCACAGUCUUUUUGGACCAGAAUAUUUCUAUUUGACAACAGGGGAAGCAAUACUUUGGCUUUCAUCUCUGUCGAAGGAAUCAAGACAAGGAUCCAAAGGAACAAGCGGUAUUUCUAACCUAUAAUUGCAAAUGACCUCUAGAUCUCUAUAUGGGCAAUUAAUCAGCAACUUCUUGCACUCUUUUUGCUCCCUAACUGAAGUAUUUGAAUUGUACUGGAGGUACACUGUGUUCUUCCUCCUCUUCAGUUGAAUUUAAUCUUUUCAAGCACUACUUGUUUUGUGAUAAUCAAAGCUGAGUUAGAGAUAUCAAUGUUUUUCAAUAAAGAAGUCUUAUCCAUUUUAAUAGGAAAAAUUUUUCUGUAGUUACUGCUGAUUUAUCAUUA